rnacentral:rRNA from 1 species
UACGGGGGGGGCAAGCGUUGUUCGGAAUUACUGGGCGUAAAGGGUUUGUAGGUGGCUUGUUAAGUCAGACGUGAAAUCCCUCAGCUUAACUGGGGAACUGCGUCUGAUACUGGAUGGCUAGAGAUUGGGAGAGGGAUGCGGAAUUCCAGGUGUAGCGGUGAAAUGCGUAGAUAUCGGGAGGAACACCAGUGGCGAAGGCGACUACCUGGCCUGUUCUUGACGCUGAGGCGCGAAAGCUAGGGGAGCAAACGGGG